rnacentral:rRNA from 1 species
GUGCCAGCCGCCGCGGUAAAACGUAGGAGGCGAGCGUUAUCCGGAUUUACUGGGUGUAAAGCGCGAGCAGGCGGCCUGAUAAGUGGUGUGUGAAAGCGCCCUGGCUCAACCGGGCGAGGACAUGCCAGACUGUCGGGCUGGAGGUAGGUAGAGGCGAGUGGAAUUCCGGGUGUAGUGGUGAAAUGCGUAGAGAUCCGGAGGAACACCAGUGGCGAAGGCGACUCGCUGGGCCUAAUCUGACGCUCAGACGCGAAAGCAUGGGGAGCGAACGGGAUUAGAUACCCGCGUAGUCC